rnacentral:rRNA from 1 species
AGCGAACGCUGGCGGCAGGCUUAACACAUGCAAGUCGAGCGCCCCGCAAGGGGAGCGGCAGACGGGAGAGUAACACGUGGGAACGUACCCUUUGGCUCGGAACAACCCAGGGAAACUCGGGCUAAUACCGGAUAAGUCCGUAAGGAGAAAGAUUUAUCGCCGAAGGAUCGGCCCGCGUCUGAUUAGCUUGUUGGUGAGGUAACGGCUCACCAAGGCGACGAUCAGUAGCUGGUCUGAGAGGAUGAUCAGCCUCACUGGGACUGAGACACGGCCCAGACUCCUACGGGAGGCAGCAGUGGGGAAUAUUGGACAAUGGGGGCAACCCUGAUCCAGCCAUGCCGCGUGGGUGAUGAAGGCCUUAGGGUUGUAAAGCCCUUUCGGCGGGGAAGAUAAUGACGGUACCCGCAGAAGAAGCCCCGGCUAACUUCGUGCCAGCAGCCGCCGCAG